UCCUGAUUCUUUCCUCAUUCCCUCGAUCUCGCCGAAGCUUCCUCCUUCUCCCUUCCUUUCUUGUGAUUUCCUUCUUACACAAUCGCCGUGACUCGUCGUCCGAUCUCUGACACCGACUGCCCCUCUCUCGAUCCCGUCACCACCGUCGAAUCACCGUUGCAUCAUCGCCCCUUCCGUGGAGUCCAACACGACGACGCCAUAGUGCCGCUCUCUUCGGCAGUGCCAUCCCCUCUUCGCGGAUGCGCGAUGUUGCCAUUGCCCUGGCUAUCGUGAGCUCAUCGCCGACACCACUCUUCCCCUCCAGUAUGCUUCACCACAGUCGAUCCCUCUUCACUAUCAGGCCUCCUUGAUUCAUUAUGUCGUGCCCUAGCUUUGAGUAACACCACCAUUGCCUUCAACCAAGCCCUAUUCCUAUCGACAGAUCGCCCGAGCCACCAGAUCUGCCACUCCGAUUAGUCCCCUACCUUUGGAGAUAGUGUUGGAUCUCUUGGCUUGUUUGAUGUGAAGCUUUCGUCCAGUAAUCAGAUACUAAAUUGGGGUUAGUAGGUGAUGGAGGUGUGGGCAGCAGUAGGCACCGCCAGUGAUUUUUGGCUGUGGGUUGCACUUUGAUCAUGAGCCACCAGUGAUCAUCAUCAGAUUUGGACUUUGAUUUGAGACGAGCAUUUCGACGUGAGAGUUAUAUUAGUAUGAUCUACAUAAAAGGCGAG